rnacentral:tRNA from 2 species
GCAAUAGUAGCUCAGCCUUAGAGCCUCGGUCUUGUAAACCGGACGUCGAAGGUUAAAAUCCCUCCUUUUGCU